AACCUUACCUGGCCUUGACAUACUAAGAACUUUCCAGAGAUGGAUUGGUGCCUUCGGGAACUUAGAUACAGGUGCUACAUGGCUGUCGUCAGCUCGUGUCGUGAGAUGUUGGGUUAAGUCCCGCAACGAGCGCAACCCUUUUCCUUAUUUGCCAGCGGGUUAAGCCGGGAACUUUAAGGAUACUGCCAGUGACAAACUGGAGGAAGGCGGGGACGACGUCAAGUCAUCAUGGCCCUUACGGCCAGGGCUACACACGUGCUACAAUGGUCGGUACAAAGGGUUGCUACCUCGCGAGAGGAUGCUAAUCUCAAAAAAGCCGAUCGUAGUCCGGAUCGCAGUCUGCAACUCGACUGCGUGAAGUCGGAAUCGCUAGUAAUCGCGGAUCAGAAUGCCGCGGUGAAUACGUUCCCGGGCCUUGUACACACCGCCCGUCACACCAUGGGAGUUUGUUGCACCAGAAGUAGGUAGUCUAACCGCAAGGAGGACGCUUACCACGGUGUGGCCGAUGACUGGGGUGAAGUCGUAACAAGGUAGGCGUAGAUGA
rnacentral:rRNA from 1 species